CAUGAACAGAUACAAACACGAGCUGUAUAGACUUUCCAAUCGCCUUUCGGGCCUUCUUUUCCCCUGGCAGUCUGUGAUAUAUCAUCCCCUUCUUAUAAUCGGAUUUGCAUUUGUAAGCAGUUGGCAUCUCGAACGCAAUUGUCUUCCAAAACAACUCGUUUCCUUUGUUGCUAUCCAGUAUACAACUGCGUAUUUCAUCUUGUUAAUAAAAUGCUUUCUUCCAAAAUUAAUAAACCACAAGGAAAUAUCUGGCCAAUAUAUAGUUUUUAACGAGCUUCGAAGCCAAAUAUAUGCUGCUGAGCUGCUCUUUUGCUGAGGUGACUG